rnacentral:rRNA from 1 species
GACGAACGCUGGCGGCGUGCUUAACACAUGCAAGUCGAGCGGAAAGGCCUUUCGGGGUACUCGAGCGGCGAACGGGUGAGUAACACGUGAGUAACCUGCCCUUCACUUUGGGAUAACCUUCGGAAACGGGGGCUAAUACCGGAUAUUACCUUCUCCUGCAUGGGGGUUGGUGGAAAGUUUUUUCGGUGGGGGAUGGGCUCUCGGCCUAUCCUCUUGUUGGUGGGGUGAUGGCCUACCAGGGCGGUGACGGGUAGCCGGCCUGAGAGGGCGACCGGUCACACUGGGACUGAGACACGGCCCACACUCCUACGGGAGGCAGCACUGGGGAAUAUUGCACUGUGGGCGGAAGCCUGAUGCAACGACCCCGCGUGAGGGAUGACCGCUUUCGGGUUGUAAACCUCUUUCAGCGGGGACAAGUCUUGAGUGACAGUACCUGCAAAAUAUUCGCCGGCCAACUACGUGCCAGCAUCCUCGGUAAGACCUAGGUCGCGAGCGUUCUACGGAUUUAUUGGGCGUAAAGAGCUCUUAGCGGUUGUCGCGUCUACUGUGCAAACCCACAUGCAUUACUGUGGGCUUGCAGUCGAUACGGGCAGGCUAGAGUUCGGUAGGGGAGACUGGAAUUCCUGGUGUAGCGGUGAAAUGCGCAGAUAUCACGGAGGAACACCGGUGGCGAAGGCGGGUCUCUGUGCCGAUACUGACGCUGAGGAGCGAAAGCGUGGGGAGCGUACAAGAUUAGAUACCCUGGUAGUCCACGCUGUAAACGUUGGGCGCUAGGUGUGGGGGGCCUCUCCGGUUUCCUGUGCCGCAGCUAACGCAUUAAGCGCCCCGCCUGGGGAGUACGGCCGCAAGGCUAAAACUCAAAGGAAUUGACGGGGGCCCGCACAAGCGGCGGAGCAUGCGGAUUAAUUCGAUGCAACGCGAAGAACCUUACCUGGGUUUGACAUCGCCGGAAAUCUCGCAGAGAUGCGGGGUCCUUCGGGGCCGGUGACAGGUGGUGCAUGGCUGUCGUCAGCUCGUGUCGUGAGAUGUUGGGUUAAGUCCCGCAACGAGCGCAACCCUUGUUCGAUGUUGCCAGCGCGUUAUGGCGGGGACUCAUCGAAGACUGCCGGGGUCAACUCGGAGGAAGGUGGGGAUGACGUCAAGUCAUCAUGCCCCUUAUGUCCAGGGCUUCACGCAUGCUACAAUGGCCGGUACAAAGGGUUGCGAUGCCGUGAGGUGGAGCGAAUCCCAAAAAGCCGGUCUCAGUUCGGAUCGGGGUCUGCAACUCGACCCCGUGAAGUCGGAGUCGCUAGUAAUCGCAGAUCAGCAACGCUGCGGUGAAUACGUUCCCGGGCCUUGUACACACCGCC